rnacentral:rRNA from 1 species
GAUUAACGCUGGCGGCGUGCAUAACACAUUCAAGUCGAACGGUGAAGGGACUUCGGUCCCGGAUCAGUGGCGGACGGGUGAGUAACGCGCGAGCAACCUGCCCUUGUGUGGGGGAUAGCGUUUGGAGACGGACGCUAAUACCGCAUAACCCAAUAGUACGGCAUCGUACAGUUGGCAAAGAUUUAUUGCACAAGGAUGGGCUCGCGUCUGAUUAGGUAGUUGGUGGGGUAACGGCCUACCAAGCCGACGAUCAGUAGCCGGACUGAGAGGUUGAACGGCCACAUUGGAACUGAGAUACGGUCCAGACUCCUACGGGAGGCAGCAGUGGGGAAUAUUGGGCAAUGGGGGAAACCCUGACCCAGCGACGCCGCGUGAGGGAAGAAGGUCUUCGGAUUGUAAACCUUAAACAACAGGGACGAAGAAAGUGACGGUACCUGUUAGGAAGCCACGGCUAACUACGUGCCAGCAGCCGCGGUAAUAC